AGGGCAAGAUGGCCAUUCCACUGCUGGAGUC
rnacentral:piRNA from 1 species